ensembl:lncRNA
GGUUGUUAAGGUGAUCCUGCAAAGAGUAAGAGGUUGUUAAGGUGAUCCUGCAAAGAGUAAGAGGUUGUUAAGGUGAUCCUGUAAAGAGUAAGGGGUUGUCACGAUGAUGCUGUCAAGAGUAAGAGGUUGUUAGGGUGAUCCUGUCAAGAGUAAGAGGUUGUUACGGUGAUCCUGCAAAGAGUAAGAGGUUGUUAAGGUGAUCCUGUAAAGAGUAAGGGGUUGUUAAGGUGAUCCUGUAAAGAGUAAGAGGUUGUUACGGUGAUCCUGCAAAGAGUAAGAGGUUGUUAAGGUGAUCCUGUAAAGAGUAAGAGGUUGUUACGGUGAUCCUGCAAAGAGUAAGAGGUUGUUAAGGUGAUCCUGUAAAGAGUAAAAGGUUGGUACGGUGAUCCUGUAAAGAGUAA